UGAGCAAGAUGCCUAUCAACCUCCAAAUUCAUCACAGUGAUAGUUCUAACAGAGAAAAUAGAUGUCUCUCUGAAACAGACAGGUGAAGAACUUCCUAUCCAUUCAGUGUAACCCUCUAGUUCUCUCUCUCCCUCCUCUCUCUUGUACCACCACUUUAUUUAGUCAGCAUAGGUGCGUGUGUGGUAUGUAUGUGGGUUGAGGCGGUCUGCACUGUUGACUGCCAACAACAUCUUAAAGAAAAUAACUUAUUUUUAUUUAUUUUUAAAUGAGGUCAGUUUAUAUUACUGAUUUGAGUGCCAGGUGUUACAUAUGCUUACAUACAACGUGGUGAAAAAGCUUGAGGAAAACGGAAAACCAUGAAUCAUUAACAAAAGUAACAUUGGCAACAAGACUUCCAAAACAGCGGAGACUGUUCUGUCAUUAUGUUUUCUGGACACCAGCAGUGGACAGACAUGCAAACAAAUGAUUUAUCAAGGUGAAGCUCACUAGCAAAGUAGGAGACAGCAGCACAUCAGUGAAUAUCUGCAGGGCAGGGGAAGGCUGGAUCAUCUUAAAUCAGCCUUGUCUCCAGACCUACAGUAUGAGCAGCACCCUUUUCUUGCAGUUCCUGAGAUGUCUUGACUGCUUCCUCCCUGACUGUUGCAGAAUUCUAUGAUGGCAGGUUCACAUGAACCCCUUAGCUAGCACACCAGAAGAACAACAUGUCCACCAGAGAGUAGGUGAUAAAUAGCUCCAGAUGGCCUGUAAGAGGUGACCUUUCUCCUGACAUAGCUGCAGCCAGGAUUGUGUUAGACAUAACUCAAAGAAAAUACAAGAAUUUUGCCAAGAAGAAGACAGAGGACAACCUAUUUUAGGGCAAUAAAAAAAAUCCUUGAAUGCCAGUUUUCAUCUUUGUUCUGGAUAACUCAUUUGUUUCCAAAGUUUGUGUGACCUCUGGACUUGAGGAAAAAUCUACUCUACAGGGUCUACUCCAUGCAAGAAUUCACCAUGAAAGUCUGUUCCAAGAAAGCAGGGUGCUCACCAGCCAACUUCGGCCUGUUCUUGUAAACAGCAUCCCAAGAGACUUUAAAAUGCAGCACAGACUUCUCCCACCUCCAGCAAUGUUAGUGUCCUUCUCUAUUCUUCACUGUUUGACAGCGAUUGCAAGAAUUAUGUUAACAUUAUCUUGUUUGUUUUUUUUUUUAAACCUGAAAUAAGGAUGCUGGCUGUACAUGAUGUUUUUAUUCAUUACAAUUUUUCUGGAUUAUGAAGCAACUAUGUAUAGACACAAUGUAUCCAUUAAAUGAGGCAGUGGGUCAUCAUUUACAUAAUUUACAGUUUGUUUCACAAUGUUAUCUGUUCUGGUGAUCUGUCCUUGCAGCAGGUGUGUUACAGUCACUUUGGCACAAAGUUAGUUUUCUCUCUGUGUGCUCUCCUGACUUCAUUUAUGGUAAGUGAAUGGCAAAACAAAGAAUUCCGCUCCUUCCCUUCUACGUUAAAGCAUACUGUAUUUAAAAAGAUAAAUCAUCUGUUGUGACAACCUUCAUCUUUCAUUCUUCCAUAUGGUCAAGUAUGGGAAUGCAGAUCUUAUAGAUAAGCCUUAUAGAGUUCCAAGUCCCUCAGGACUUUUGGUAAAAGUUCACUUUAAUGAACGCUUUCAUGGAGUAAAUUGCAAAGGAACACAAGGAUUCAUGUAUGCUAGUCCCUGCUGCCACAACUCUUUUUUCUUUUAAAUGUUGUAUCAAAUUAUCAAUCACAUACGUAAAAAAGUAUUGCCUGGUGUUUUUUCUUAUAAUUUAG